ensembl:lncRNA
CACAAACGGUGGCCGCGCACCGCCCCCCCCCCCCGCCCCCGGGGAGACUGGGGGGGGGAUCUGGACGCCUCGCUAAGGGGAGGGGAGAGAAAGGGGCGACGGGGGACACUUCCCCCUUCCCGGCAAGAAAGUUCGAGCAGGGAACGGGAGAACUCGCCGGUUUUCGACACUUUUUUCAAGGCGCCGGGACGGGGGUUGGGAGGUGUUGCUAACUCAAGUCAGAUGAGCUGCGGAGCUCAGGAGCUCUGACUGCUCUGUUUUCAAUCUCUGAAAUCCCCCCGCCCUCCCCACUCCUCCUUCCCUCCGCCCGGAGAUGCCCCGGUCGCUGUUCCCUGGGCGCCCGCUUCUCCAGGCGCCGGGGCGGAAGCCAGGAUCGAGAAGGAAGGGAGGCAGGGGCUCGGUCCACGCGGACCCUCUUCCUGCUGGCGGCGAACGCAGGUGCCAGGGGUCAUGCUGCGCCCCCCUUAGCGGCUCGCGCAAGUUGCCUGCGGAGCGCAUGUUGGCGAGAAACGAAGCAGCCUUCUGGGUUUGGUGCAUAUGUUUUCUAAGGAGGGUUUUUGUUUUGUUUUGUUUUUUUGGAGACUCCACUAGAGCGGCUGCAGCCAGAUGGAAGUAAUCAGAACCCAACAACGGAGAGAGGGUAGAAAAACCCUCGCUGAAUUUUCGGGCCAAAGUGUGGAUGGGACUAUGUGUCAAAAAACUUGCUUGAGCUAACUGGAGGAGUCCUGGGACCUCCAGCCACCCCACAGCCCAGAACUGGCCGCCCGACUUGGAGAAGGAGGAGGGCCGCUGGCUAGAGUGCCCUCCCAAGGCCUCCAAGGCUCCGGAAUCAUCCCAACAGUGCCUUAGGUAGUCUCUGCUCCCCCUGCACAGCUGAGAAGACUGAGGUUUAAGGAAAUGGAGGGACUUGUCCAAGACCAACUCAACUCCUGCUGGAAUCCAGACACUCACAGAACCUUUCCCGGAUUAUUUUGGCAAAAAAGAUGACUGUGGAGAAGAUGGAAUGUUUUCAGCCAGCAAGAAAACAAGGACCUUGGGCUGCCACUGCAAGGGGCUGAUGCUGCCAGCAACCCAGGUGACUGGGAACUGACGCCCCCUCCAGAACAGGUUGCAAGUGCAGACACUCGAUUUUGUCUGGUGAGACCUGUACUGAGCCUCUGACCUGCAGAAUGGAGUGAUUCUGAAUUUGUAUCAUUAUAAGCCACUAAAUGUGUGAUCAUUUGUUAUGCAG